rnacentral:rRNA from 1 species
UACCCACAUUUGUGUUACUUGGAUAACUGUGGUAAUUCUAGAGCUAAUACAUGCCGACGAGUUCCGACCAGCGCCGGGUGUAUUAGGCUUCGCGCCGACCCUGGUGUUCGGAAGGAACGCUCUUAUUAGAUCAAAACCGGCCAAACAGUGUAGCGAACGCGUUUUCGAACGCGUUCGCGCUGUAAGCGGCCCGCGCAAAGACUUGACGACUCUGAAUAAUUUCGAGCUGAUCGCACGGUCUUGGUACCGGCGACGUAUCUUUCAAAUGUCUGCCUUAUCAACUGUCGACGGUAGGUUCGAUGCCUACCGUGGUGGUAACGGGUAACGGGGAAUCAGGGUUCGAUUCCGGAGAGGGAGCCUGAGAAACGGCUACCACAUCCAGGAAGGCAGCAGGCGCGCAAAUUACCCACUCCCAGCUCGGGGAGGUAGUGACGAAAAAUAACGAUGCGGGACUCUUAUGAGGCUUCCGUAAUCGGAAUGAGUACACUUUAAAACCUU